rnacentral:rRNA from 1 species
UUAAAAAGCUCGUAGUUGGAUUUCUGGGAGGGUGCCAAUGUCCGCCGACGUGCGUGCGCAGCGGCGCCCUUCCAUCCUUCUGUUAACACCUCUUGGCAUUCAUUUGCUGGUGGUGGGCUCAGAUAUUUUACCUUGAGAAAAUUAGAGUGUUUCAGGCAGGCUUGGCCGGAAUACAUUAGCAUGGAAUAAUGGAAUAGGACUACGGUCUCUUUGUUGGUUUGAGGGACUGCAGUAAUGAUUAAUAGGGAUAGUUGGGGGCAUUAGUAUUUAAUUGUCAGAGGUGGAAUUCUCGGAUUUGUUAAAGACUAACUUAUGCGAAAGCAUUUGCCAAGGAUGUUUUCAUUAAUCAAGAACGAAAGUUAGGGGAUCAAGGACGAUCAGAUACCGUCCUAGUCUUAACCAUAAACUAUACCGACUCGGGAUCGGGGGCGCGGACUAUCCGCCUUCGGCACCGUAUGAGAAAUC